AUUCAGCUGACGAGUCCCAAACAGGAUGAGACGCGCAUCCUGGAU
rnacentral:hammerhead_ribozyme from 1 species